rnacentral:rRNA from 1 species
GAUGAACGCUGGCGGCGUGCCUAAUACAUGCAAGUCGAGCGAAUGGAUUAAGAGCUUGCUCUUAUGAAGUUAGCGGCGGACGGGUGAGUAACACGUGGGUAACCUGCCCAUAAGACUGGGAUAACUCCGGGAAACCGGGGCUAAUACCGGAUAACAUUUUGAACCGCAUGGUUCGAAAUUGAAAGGCGGCUUCGGCUGUCACUUAUGGAUGGACCCGCGUCGCAUUAGCUAGGUGGUGAGGUAACGGCUCACAAAGGCAACGAUGCGUAGCCGCCCUGAGAGGGUGAUCGGCCACACUGGGACGGGGACACGGCCCAGACUCCUACGGGAGGCAGCAGUAGGGAAUCUUCCGCAAUGGACGAAAGUCUGACGGAGCAACGCCGCGUGAGUGAUGAAGGCUUUCGGGUCGUAAAACUCUGUUGUUAGGGAAGAACAAGUGCUAGUUGAAUAAGCUGGCACCUUGACGGUACCUAACCAGAAAGCCACGGCUAACUACGUGCCAGCCGCCGCCGUAA